AUUGAACGCUGGCGGCAGGCCUAACACAUGCAAGUCGAGCGAGCGGCGGACGGGUGUGUAAUGUAUGGGGACUGCCUGCAAGUGGGGGAAAACUACUGGAACCGGUGGCUAAUACCGCAUACGGUCGGAUACGCGCUCUGGGAUUAGCUAGUGGGUAAGGUAAUGGCUUACCUAGGCGACGAUGCCUCGCUGGUCUGAGAGGAUGAUCAGCCACACUGGGACUGAGACACGGCCCAGACUCCUACGGAGGCAGCAGUGGGGAAUAUUGGACAAUGGGCGCAAGCCUGAUGGAGCCAUGCCGCGUGUAUGAAGAAGGCCCUAGGGUUGUAAAGUACUUUCAGUCGGGAGGCGUUACCGACAGAAGAAGCACCGGCUAACUCCGUGCCAGCAGCCGCGGUAAUUC
rnacentral:rRNA from 1 species